rnacentral:rRNA from 1 species
AGAACGAACGCUGGCGGCAUGCCUAAUACAUGCAAGUCGAACGAACACUUCGGUGUUAGUGGCGCACGGGUGCGUAACGCGUGGGAAUCUGCCCUUGGGUUCGGAAUAACAGUUGGAAACGACUGCUAAUACCGGAUGAUAUCGAAAGAUCAAAGAUUUAUCGCCCAGGGAUGAGCCCGCGUAGGAUUAGCUAGUUGGUGAGGUAAAGGCUCACCAAGGCGACGAUCUGUAGCUGGUCUGAGAGGACGACCAGCCACACUGGGACUGAGACACGGCCCAGACUCCUACGGGAGGCAGCAGUGGGGAAUUUGGACAAUGGGCGAAAGCCUGAUCCAGCCAUGCCGCGUGCAGGAU